GUGCUCACUUUAGCAGCACAUAUACUAAAAUUGGAAAGAGAGAAGAUUAGUAUGGACCCUGCACAAGGAUGACGUGUAAAUUCAUGAAGAGUUCCAUUAAAAA